rnacentral:rRNA from 1 species
UACGGAGGAUGCAAGCGUUAUCCGGAAUGAUUGGGCGUAAAGCGUCCGCAGGUGGCUGUGUAAGUCUGCUGUCAAAGCGCGAAGCUCAACUUCGUAAAGGCAGUGGAAACUACACGGCUAGAGUGCGUUCGGGGCAGAGGGAAUUCCUGGUGUAGCGGUGAAAUGCGUAGAGAUCAGGAAGAACACCGGUGGCGAAGGCGCUCUGCUAGGCCGUAACUGACACUGAGGGACGAAAGCUAGGGGAGCGAAUGGG